rnacentral:snRNA from 1 species
GUGCUCACUUCAGCAACACAUAUACUAAAAUUGGAACGAUAUAGGGAGGAUUAGUGUGGCCCCUGAAUAAGGAUUACAUGCAAAUUUGUGAAGUAAUCCAUUAAAAA